rnacentral:hammerhead_ribozyme from 1 species
AUCUAGCUGACGAGUCUCAAAUAGGACAAAAUGCACAUCCUGGAU